CCCCGGCUCCUGGGCCCCGGCCUCUGGGCCCCGCCGGCCCAGGGUUGUGGGCGACCGGACUGAGGCGAGCUCCCUGUCCGCUCUCAACACCUGAGGAAACUGGCAGAAAAGUUUGAGAACGAAAAGUCCAAUCGUCUUUCAGCUUCCGCCCUCCCUGUGACACUCCAGCCACGGUAAAGGAGACCCAGUGAUGAGUAAAGAUGGCUCAAGCUGCUCAGAGCCGAGUGGUGGGCCUGGAGCCCUGCAGAAGCACUGGCAGAAGGAGGAAGAAAUGUGUCUUGGCUGGAGGCCCACGUUUCGUUCCAGCACAUCCUUUUUACCAAAAGAGCCAUCCCUGGAGCUGCCAACAGUGUUUACAAAAGAGCCGGCCAACAAUACUUUGGAUCUGGGAGCAUGGCCUGACCACAGACAUGGCCUUCCCCAACCCGAGAACCAUCCAUCGGAGAGCCUGACACAUGGUUGCGGUGCUUGGAUGACGAUGCAAAGAAAUGUCAGGAGAGGAAACAUGAGAUGGAGCCAGAAGCAAGGUCUUUGCUCAGCUUGUGCGCUGUGCGUCCUACCAUACUUGAUGGACGUGGGUAUUUGGUCCUCUGCGGCCACUGCAGACCGUCAGUCUGUGGGCAACAAGGAUUUACAAAGAGCAAGCCCACUCUUGAAAGAAGUGAAGAUGAGCCCUGAAGACAACCAGGGCAUGGAAUACAUCCUUGAACAGAUUCUACCUGUGGUUCAAAUGGCUGUGAAUGGGCACUCGAACCGGCUGUAACAGAGAGGGGGUCAAGUGUUGACUCAAGGGAAGCAUAAUUCAGAGACUUCAGGGUCUUGGACGCUUGGGCUUUCCUAUUGGUGGAGUUGGAAAGAGUUUUCAACCAAAGAUAGGCAUUCAAUUUUUUUGAUCUGCAAGGCCAUGAAAUUACAGAAACCAGGGUAAAGAACUGAGGGAUCAGUUUUAACAGGUUCUGUCACCAUUUUGUGGACAUACUAUUCAGACAGAGAGGAUGCAGGGCUGACGAGGGCGUAGUUAGAGGUAGGGUACCUCUUAGGUUUGCUAGCAUAUUUCUGUUAGAUGGGUACAGACUUCCAUGUGAACCUAAUUGGCCUCUCUGAACUGGUUUUAUUCACACUCCACAAAACGUGUGGCUUUUUUUGUUAAGUUUUUCCCCCGACACCAACCAAUGCUUCAAUUCCCUGGACAUCAACUGAGACAUCACCUACAAUUCAAUUUAAUCUGACACUAACUACCCAGAUUAAGGGCUCCAUCUUAUAAGACUGCUUCCAUGCCAGUCACAGGUCUCAGAUUGACACGUGUACUUCUGACCAACUGGCUAUAAAAUCUGGGGUUCCCAGGACUCCCUCUUCAGGUUUGAUAAUUUGCCAAAACACAUCACAAACCUUAGGAAAACAUUUAACUGAUGUUUACUGGUCUAAUAGAAAGGAUAUUAUGAAAGAUACAAAUGAACAGCCAAAUGAAGAGGUACACAGGGCGAGAUCCAGAAGGGCCCUUAGCGCUGGAGCUUCUGUCCUGCAGAAGUGGGGUGUGCCACUUUCCCAGCACAAGGGUGCAUUCAUCAACCUAGAAACUCUUUAAACACUUGCUUUAUGUAGGCAUGAUGGGUUAAAUCAUUGGCCAUUGGUGAUUGGACUCAAUCUCUAGCCCUUCUCCCCUCCCCAGAAGUUAGGGGAGGGGACUGAAAGUUCCAAGUUUCUCAUUAAGGCUUGGUCUUUCUAAUGAACAACCUCCAUCCUGAAGCUAUCCAGGGGCCCCCAGAACCAGUCAUCUCAUUAGCAUGCGAAAGACACUCAUUACGCUGAGGUUUUCAAGGGUUUUAUUUUAGGAGAUGUAUGCCAGGAAUCUAGGACAGAGACCAAAUAUUUAUUUUUUAUUAUAUCACAGCUUCGCUGGCCAAGGGACCAGGAAAAGUGAGGCUGAAGUAGGGAGACACUUGGGGAAGAUACCAUCUGCAUCUGAACACAGGGUCACAGGCUAGGCUGUGCUGUUAGGGUCGGAUUGUCACACCCAUGUCCUCACCGUCUUUUGCCAUCAGUGCCCACCAUCUGGCGUGUGCCAAGCAUUUUCUGGGGGUAGUGUGAUGGAUACGUAGGUCACCUGGACAUUUUUUACAUCUCCAAGGAGCUCACAAUAUCAGAGGAAAUGCAUGUAAGCAACUGUCCGUAAUGCAUUGUGGAAAGCCACAUUCAGAGGCUUGGGAAAGUGCUACAGGGACACAGAGGAGAGAGCCAUUAGCUACGGGGACACAGAGGAGAGAGCCAUUAAUUAUGCCUAGAGGUUUGGGUAAGUUGUCGCAGGGGACGUCGCAUUGUCAGCUGGGCUGUGAAAGAUAAGCAGGGAUGUUAUCAAUGGAGACGAAGGAAGUAUAUUCCAGGUAGCGGAUACAACAUAAGUAGAGACAUUGAGUUGCAGGUGUUUAUUCAGGGAACAGUGAACUGAUCAGCAUGGUUAUAGCAUAGGGUGUCUAACCAGGAGCCAUCAGAAUGGCCAACACUAAUCAAACAUCUAUUAAAUGCCAGGGACUUUU